rnacentral:rRNA from 1 species
UAGUCCACGCCGUAAACGAUGAUCACUCGCUGUUGGCAAUACAUAGUCAGCGGCCAAGCGAAAGCAUUAAGUGAUCCACCUGGGGAGUACGUUCGCAAGAAUGAAACUCAAAGGAAUUGACGGGGGCCCGCACAAGCGGUGGAACAUGUGGUUUAAUUCGAUGAUACGCGAGGAACCUUACCUGGGCUUAAAUGUAGAAUGGCUUAGCUCGAAAGAGCUUUUUCCUUCGGGACAUUUUACAAGGUGCUGCAUGGUUGUCGUCAGCUCGUGCCGUGAGGUGUCGGGUUAAGUCCCAUAACGAGCGCAACCCCUAUCGUUAGUUGCCAUCAGGUUAAGCUGGGGACUCUAACGAAACUGCCGGUGUAAACCGUGAGGAAGGUGGGGAUGACGUCAAAUCAGCACGGCCCUUAUGUCCAGGGCUACACACGUGUUACAAUGGUCAGUACAAAGGGCAGCUACCAGGCAACUGGAUGCUAAUCUCGAAAACUGGUCUCAGUUCGGA